rnacentral:rRNA from 1 species
GUGAGGAAUUUUCCGCAAUGGGCGAAAGCCUGACGGAGCAAUGCCGCGUGAAGGAUGAAGGCCUAUGGGUUGUAAACUUCUUUUCUCAGAAAAGAAUUAUGACGGUAUCUGAGGAAUAAGCAUCGGCUAACUCUGUGCCAGCAGCCGCGGUAAGACAGAGGAUGCAAGCGUUAUCCGGAAUGAUUGGGCGUAAAGCGUCUGUAGGUUGUUUAAAAAGUAUUCUGUCAAAGAUUAGGGCUUAACCCUAGAUAGGCAGAAUAAACUUUUAAGCUAGAGGUUGGUAGAGGCAGAGGGAAUUCCCGGUGGAGCGGUGAAAUGCGUAGAUAUCGGGAGGAACACCAAAGGCGAAGGCACUCUGCUGGGCCAAUACUAACACUGAGAGACGAAAGCGAGGGGAGCAAAUGGGAUUAGAUACCCUAGUAGUCC